GCCCGCGUGGCUUAGUGGUACAGCGUCUCACUCGUAUGCACCGUUCAUAGCGACCAUGAGAAGAUCAUCGGUUCGAUUCCGAUCGUGGGCA
rfam:Cyphellophora europaea CBS 101466 unplaced genomic scaffold supercont1.3, whole genome shotgun sequence.